rnacentral:rRNA from 1 species
UACGGAGGGUGCAAGCGUUAUCCGGAUUCACUGGGUUUAAAGGGUGCGUAGGUGGGUUGGUAAGUCAGUGGUGAAAUCCCCGAGCUUAACUUGGGAACUGCCAUUGAUACUAUCAGUCUUGAAUACCGUGGAGGUCAGCGGAAUAUGCCAUGUAGCGGUGAAAUGCUUAGAUAUGACAUAGAACACCAAUUGCGAAGGCAGCUGGCUACACGGAUAUUGACACUGAGGCACGAAAGCGUGGGGAUCAAACAGG